AGGACAAACGCUGGCGGCGUGCUUAACACAUGCAAGUCGAGCGGUGAUCCUCCUUCGGGAGGUGAUCAGCGGCGAACGGGUGAGUAACACGUGGGCAACCUGCCCCUCACACUGGGAUAACCUCGGGAAACCGGGGCUAAUACCGGAUACGACCUCGAGCGGCAUCUCUUGAGGUGGAAAGCUCCGACGGUGAGGGAUGGGCCCGCGGCCUAUCAGCUUGUUGGUGGGGUAAUGGCCUACCAAGGCGACGACGGGUA
rnacentral:rRNA from 1 species